rnacentral:rRNA from 1 species
GGUUAAGCGACUAAGCGUACACGGUGGAUGCCCUGGCAGUCAGAGGCGAUGAAGGACGUGCUAAUCUGCGAUAAGCGUCGGUGAGGUGAUAUGAACCGUUAUAACCGGCGAUUUCCGAAUGGGGAAACCCAGUGUGUUUCGACACACUAUCAUUAACUGAAUCCAUAGGUUAAUGAGGCGAACCGGGGGAACUGAAACAUCUAAGUACCCCGAGGAAAAGAAAUCAACCGAGAUUCCCCCAGUAGCGGCGAGCGAACGGGGAGGAGCCCAGAGCCUGAAUCAGUGUGUGUGUUAGUGGAAGCGUCUGGAAAGGCGUGCGAUACAGGGUGACAGCCCCGUACACAAAAAUGCACAUAUUGUGAGCUCGAUGAGUAGGGCGGGACACGUGGUAUCCUGUCUGAAUAUGGGGGGACCAUCCUCCAAGGCUAAAUACUCCUGACUGACCGAUAGUGAACCAGUACCGUGAGGGAAAGGCGAAAAGAACCCCGGCGAGGGGAGUGAAAAAGAACCUGAAACCGUGUACGUACAAGCAGUGGGAGCCUCUUAAUGGGGUGACUGCGUACCUUUUGUAUAAUGGGUCAGCGACUUAUAUUCUGUAGCAAGGUUAACCGAAUAGGGGAGCCGAAGGGAAACCGAGUCUUAACUGGGCGUUAAGUUGCAGGGUAUAGACCCGAAACCCGGUGAUCUAGCCAUGGGCAGGUUGAAGGUUGGGUAACACUAACUGGAGGACCGAACCGACUAAUGUUGAAAAAUUAGCGGAUGACUUGUGGCUGGGGGUGAAAGGCCAAUCAAACCGGGAGAUAGCUGGUUCUCCCCGAAAGCUAUUUAGGUAGCGCCUCGUGAAUUCAUCUCCGGGGGUAGAGCACUGUUUCGGCAAGGGGGUCAUCCCGACUUACCAACCCGAUGCAAACUGCGAAUACCGGAGAAUGUUAUCACGGGAG